rnacentral:rRNA from 1 species
CGUGUAGGCGGUUGUUCAAGUCGGGUGUGAAAGCCUUGAGCUCAACUCAAGAAAUGCACUCGAUACUGAAUGACUAGAGGACCGGAGAGGAUAGUGGAAUUCCCAGUGUAGUGGUGAAAUACGUAGAGAUUGGGAAGAACACCAGUGGCGAAGGCGGCUAUCUGGACGGUUUCUGACGCUAAGACGCGAAAGCGUGGGGAGCAAACAGGAUUAGAUACCCUGGUAGUCCACGCCGUAAACGAUGGGUGCUAGACGUUGGCGAGCUUGCUCGUCAGUGUCGCAGCUAACGCGUUAAGCACCCCGCCUGGGGAGUACGGCCGCAAGGUUGAA